GAUGAAGAACGUAGUGAAAUGCGAUAAGUAAUGUGAAUUGCAGAAUUCAGUGAAUCAUCGAAUCUUUGAACGCAUCUUGCGCUCCUUGGUAUUCUGAGGAGCAUGCCUGUUUGAGUGUCAUUAAAUUCUCAACUACACUGACUUUGAAUUGGUGUGGCUUGGAUUUGGGGGGAAAAUUGUUGUGGGCUUUUUGUAUAGUCUGCUCCCCUGAAAUUGAUUAGCGGUACCUUUGUGGAACUGUCUACAGGUGUGAUAAUUAUCUACAUCUUAGACAUCUGCUGGAAUGCUGCUUUCUAAACCUUACUUGUAUUGACAAUCUUGACCUCAAAUCAGGUAGGACUACCCGCUGAACUUAAGCAUAUCAAUAGGCGGAGGA
rnacentral:misc_RNA from 1 species